rnacentral:rRNA from 1 species
GACGAACGCUGGCGGCGUGCCUAAUACAUGCAAGUAGAACGCACAGUUUAUACCGUAGCUUGCUACACCAUAGACUGUGAGUUGCGAACGGGUGAGUAACGCGUAGGUAACCUGCCUGGUAGCGGGGGAUAACUAUUGGAAACGAUAGCUAAUACCGCAUAAUAUUAAUUAUUGCAUGAUAAUUAAUUGAAAGGUGCAAUUGCACCACUACCAGAUGGACCUGCGUUGUAUUAGCUAGUAGGUGAGGUAACGGCUCACCUAGGCGACGAUACAUAGCCGACCCGCGAGGGUGAUCGGCCACACUGGGACUGAGACACGGCCCAGACUCCUACGGGAGGCAGCAGUAGGGAAUCUUCGGCAAUGGACGAAAGUCUGACCGAGCAACGCCGCGUGAGUGAAGAAGGUUUUCGGAUCGUAAAGCUCUGUUGUAAGAGAAGAACGGGUGUGAGAGUGGAAAGUUCACACUGUGACGGUAUCUUACCAGAAAGGGACGGCUAACUACGUG